rnacentral:rRNA from 1 species
GACGAACGCUGGCGGCGUGCUUAACACAUGCAAGUCGAACGGAAAGGCCCUGCUUUUGUGGGGUGCUCGAGUGGCGAACGGGUGAGUAACACGUGAGUAACCUGCCCUUGACUUUGGGAUAACUUCAGGAAACUGGGGCUAAUACCGGAUAGGAGCUCCUGCUGCAUGGUGGGGGUUGGAAAGUUUCGGCGGUUGGGGAUGGACUCGCGGCUUAUCAGCUUGUUGGUGGGGUAGUGGCUUACCAAGGCUUUGACGGGUAGCCGGCCUGAGAGGGUGACCGGCCACAUUGGGACUGAGAUACGGCCCAGACUCCUACGGGAGGCAGCAGUGGGGAAUAUUGCACAAUGGGCGGAAGCCUGAUGCAGCAACGCCGCGUGCGGGAUGACGGCCUUCGGGUUGUAAACCGCUUUCGCCUGUGACGAAGCGUGAGUGACGGUAAUGGGUAAAGAAGCACCGGCUAACUACGUGCCAGCAGCCGCGGUGAUACGUAGGGUGCGAGCGUUGUCCGGAUUUAUUGGGCGUAAAGGGCUCGUAGGUGGUUGAUCGCGUCGGAAGUGUAAUCUUGGGGCUUAACCCUGAGCGUGCUUUCGAUACGGGUUGACUUGAGGAAGGUAGGGGAGAAUGGAAUUCCUGGUGGAGCGGUGGAAUGCGCAGAUAUCGGGAGGAACACCAGUGGCGAAGGCGGUUCUCUGGGCCUUUCCUGACGCUGAGGAGCGAAAGCGUGGGGAGCGAACAGGCUUAGAUACCCUGGUAGUCCACGCUGUAAACGGUGGGUACUAGGUGUGGGGUCCAUUCCACGGGUUCCGUGCCGUAGCUAACGCUUUAAGUACCCCGCCUGGGGAGUACGGCCGCAAGGCUAAAACUCAAAGGAAUUGACGGGGCCCCGCACAAGCGGCGGAGCAUGCGGAUUAAUUCGAUGCAACGCGUAGAACCUUACCUGGGUUUGACAUGGAUCGGGAGUGCUCAGAGAUGGGUGUGCCUCUUUUGGGGUCGGUUCACAGGUGGUGCAUGGCUGUCGUCAGCUCGUGUCGUGAGAUGUUGGGUUAAGUCCCGCAACGAGCGCAACCCUUGUUCACUGUUGCCAGCACGUUAUGGUGGGGACUCAGUGGAGACCGCCGGGGUCAACUCGGAGGAAGGUGGGGAUGACGUCAAGUCAUCAUGCCCCUUAUGUCCAGGGCUUCACGCAUGCUACAAUGGCUGGUACAGAGAGUGGCGAGCCUGUGAGGGUGAGCGAAUCCCGGAAAGCCGGUCUCAGUUCGGAUUGGGGUCUGCAACUCGACCUCAUGAAGUCGGAGUCGCUAGUAAUCGCAGAUCAGCAACGCUGCGGUGAAUACGUUCCCGGGGCU